rnacentral:tRNA from 1 species
AUGACUAGAGAGCUUGAAAUAGCACUUGACUUUUAAUCAAGAGAUAAUAUUAUAUAUUUCUAGUUA